CAGAAACACCCUCUGAUACUCAGUGUGUCAGUCACACCGGGAUUCAUUCACUGAGUUCCGGGAGCAAGGCAGCUUUUCAAGGCUGGGCACUAAACAGGGGGAGCUUUGUGAGUGCCUAGACUCCUCUGCCGGCCACCUGCUCUUCCUCUCCUUGGCUUCCACGAAGAAAGCUGCAUGAGAGCAGGGAAUUGCUUUGUCCAAUGCUAAUCACUAAAGCUUAGAAUACUGCUUGUUACAUGUUGGGGACCUCUGGCUGGUGAUGUUACCUGCCACAGGAUGUGCCCUGCCCAAUCAGCUUGCCAAGUCUAGCUUGUGCACUGGUUCCUGAGUUCUUGUCCUGUGCCCAAGAAGAAUGAGGAUGUGCUGACCAUUGAAGGAGUCUUGUUCUGUUGACCAGGCUGGAAUGCUGUGGUGUGAUCUCGCCUCAUUUCAACCUCCACCUCCCAGGUUCAAGCGAUUCUCCUGCCUCAGCCUCCCGAGUAGCUGAGACUACAGAGCCACCUCUUAGUUGGACUAUUUCACUGCAACAGUCCCCUUCAGCUGGUGAGUCUCUCAAGUAAUCCGUAAAACAGGUUGGAAAAUUUCUUCCUCAGUUACUGUUGCAGCUGAAGGGAAGUGUGACCUGGCAGCAGGUAAAGAUGAAUUGGGAAUGUGUACCGCUUCUUCAUGCAACUUGUACAUUCAGGGCCUGCUUGGACCUCAUGUGGUAUAUACCACUUCCACUUGAUGGAGUCCUACUGGCAUGCUUGACUUUAUGGCAUGGUAGAUCAGAUAUUCAAUUAAUCAAAAGUGUGAGUAUCUUUAUGGUUUGUGGUUCAGUACCUCAUAGGACACAGUAGCAAGUUAACCAUCAUUUUUCAAUUGAGAAUAGUUACUUGCUGAAAAGUACAUUUUUGUACAUUUUUUUUCAGAACUGUGAAGACUUUGUGUAUUACAGAUUUCUGCUGGUUGAAUCUGCCAAAUGCAGUUUAAGUAGAUACACUGAGUUAUGACAGCAAGAUAGAAAAUUGUUGAUACUGUGGACAAACAUCUCUCUCUUUCUUUGAGUCUUCAGGAAAUCUAGCAGUCUUUUGGAUUAUUGAGUAAACGGAUUGAAGAACCACAUCACAAAGUAUUACAUGUGCAUCUCUUUUGAUGGUGGUGUCUGCGAAGUGCAGCAACUUAUUUGUAAAUUUAGAGGAAAUAUUCUAACACACUCUAAACAAUUAGACACAUAGACAUUUCCUCGAAUAUAGCAUACUUUCUCACAACAUUAAUUUCCCAUUUUUUGGUACGCAUGCAUCAGUAUCUCUUAGCUCACCGUAUCUAGCUUCUAUCGGCAUGCUGUCGUCAGUGCAGUUUUUAAGUAUGAAUUCUAUGUAAGAGUAAGA
rnacentral:lncRNA from 1 species